GCUGUGAAGAGUGAUUUUAAAGAUUGUGGAGGCUCUGUACUAGUUUGUGCAAAACAGGGAAGCCGACAUGGACAGCUGAAGUUGAAGUUGUCCCAGCUACAUUUUUUUUCUGACUGCAAUGAAGAUGCUCAGAUCUACAAAUGCAAGAGGUUGAAUGUGAUGCCAGUGACAGGUUAUAAAGAAGAAGUGCGUUAAAACAACCGGCAAACUCAAGAACUUGACAGGGGCUUUCCGACAGCAAAACAACAGAAUUAAUUGCCUGGAUCCAGUUCCCCCAACAGCUACUGUAUGUCAUGUCCGCACC